rnacentral:rRNA from 1 species
ACUCCUACGGGAGGCAGCAGUGAGGAAUAUUGGUCAAUGGCCGAGAGGCUGAACCAGCCAAGUAGCGUGAAGGAUGAAGGUUCUAUGGAUUGUAAACUUCUUUUAUACGGGAAUAACAUCACCUACGUGUAGGUGCCUGCA